rnacentral:rRNA from 1 species
AUUGAACGCUGGCGGCAUGCUUUACACAUGCAAGUCGAACGGCAGCGCGGGCUUUGGCCUGGCGGCGAGUGGCGAACGGGUGAGUAAUACAUCGGAACGUGCCCAGUAGUGGGGGAUAGCUCGGCGAAAGCCGGAUUAAUACCGCAUACGACCUGAGGGUGAAAGCGGGGGAUCUUCGGACCUCGCGCUAUUGGAGCGGCCGAUGGCAGAUUAGCUAGUUGGUGGGGUAAAGGCCUACCAAGGCGACGAUCUGUAGCUGGUCUGAGAGGACGACCAGCCACACUGGGACUGAGACACGGCCCAGACUCCUACGGGAGGCAGCAGUGGGGAAUUUUGGACAAUGGGCGAAAGCCUGAUCCAGCAAUGCCGCGUGUGUGAUGAAGGCCUUCGGGUUGUAAAGCACUUUUGGCGGGAACGAGAAGGACUGUGCCAAUACCACGGUUCGAUGACGGUACCCGCAGAAUAAGCACCGGCUAACUACGUG